GACGAACGCUGGCGGCGUGCUUAACACAUGCAAGUCGAACGGAAAGGCCCUGCUUUUGUGGGGUGCUCGAGUGGCGAACGGGUGAGUAACACGUGAGUAACCUGCCCUUGACUUUGGAUAACUUCAGGAAACUGGGGCUAAUACCGGAUAGGAGCUCCUGCUGCCUGGUGGGGGUUGGAAAGUUUCGGCGGUUGGGGAUGGACUCGCGGCUUAUCAGCUUGUUGGUGGGGUAGUGGCUUACCAAGGCUUUGACGGGUAGCCGGCCUGAGAGGGUGACCGGCCACAUUGGGACUGAGAUACGGCCCAGACUCCUACGGGAGGCAGCAGUGGGGAAUAUUGCACAAUGGGCGGAAGCCUGAUGCAGCAACGCCGCGUGCGGGAUGACGGCCUUCGGGUUGUAAACCGCUUUCGCCUGUGACGAAGCGUGAGUGACGGUAAUGGGUAAAGAAGCACCGGCUAACUACGUG
rnacentral:rRNA from 1 species